rnacentral:lncRNA from 1 species
UUGAACUCCCUUUCUUCCUUGCAGCUCCAUUUCUUCUCUCUUCUGCUAUUGUUUUGUCCUUGUUGCUGCUUUCCCCACUAUGUUGCUUACCUCUUCCUUUCUCCUUGCUGCUGCGGACAAUACUCCCGCAAUUAUUGCUUGUCAUUCAUAUGUAUUUCCAAAGACUCGACAAAUCAAAGAAUAUCCCAGUAUCAAUUCUACUAAGCUUAAGCAAACUUAGCAAAAAUUGAAGAAAAAAGGUUGACCUUUGUUCGUAAAGGGUGUUGCUGAAGCUGUAGCAAGUACUGUUGCAGACCCUUUUUCGCUAU